UCAGCCCCCGGAACUGUGUGGGGCCGCUCCGCGCGCGGCGAAACCAGGGCAAGGCAAAGCUUGGAGGCCGAGACCUCGCGUCGAUCAGGGGGUCUCCCCGGGCAGGAGCUAACUUGGGAGUCUCCUCGUCGUGCGCUGGGCGGAACCUGCCUACGGAGUCGGAAGCCCCUUUGGGGCUUUUUGUUUGAUUUGUUUUUUGGCUAGUCAUCGAGGCUUUUAGAAAAAAAAAAAAGAGGUGGCCAGUGCCCAGAUGCUAGCCUCAGUGUUCAUCUGUGCUGCCACAGGAACCACACAGAGGACUGGUACAGUGCCCAGUGUGAGCACCGAACCUGCAGCAGUAACCCUGCCCUGCCAGUCAGGGAGCCCCGCGCCUGUGGAGCUGCCCACAGCACCUGCCCAGACCCUCCAUGCGCCCAGUUAAAAUCUGCAUUUGAGACAGAGAGUUCUACGCAAGAAGCUGAAAUGCCCAGUGAUUUCUGGCUCCUCUCCCCAUUUCCUGAGCCUUCCUGCCUCUCUGCCUGAUUCAAAUGAUAGGCUGUUCAGAGGGACCCCUUAACCGAAGGCGUUCCUCAAGCAGAGGCAUCUAGGGG
rnacentral:lncRNA from 1 species